AGCAAAGCUAUCAAUAUGUUACCAGAUUUGAUGAAUGUAUUUGAUAUGGAUCGUUUACUAAAGCGUAGCUUUUUGUUGCUAUGUCCUGUGGAGAUAUAUGGAGAUCUUUUAAAGAACGGAUGCUUUUCUUGCUUGGAGUUGUGCGUCACAAUGAGAAAACUACUACUCGAUACGAAAACAGGCAGUUCAUACACACCGUGUUUUGUAAGUACAUUAACAAUAUUAACAAUUGAAAGCAAAUUAUCGCGUGCGUACAUUAGGCUUAAUUUUAGUAGACCAUUAAAUCUGCAUUGAUGUU